UACGGAGGGUGCAAGCGUUGAUCGGAAUUACUGGGCGUAAAGCGCGCGUAGGCGGCUUGAUAAGCCGGUUGUGAAAGCCCCGGGCUCAACCUGGGAGCCGCAUCCGGAACUGGUAGGCUAGAGUGCAGGAGAGGAAGGUAGAAUUCCCGGUGUAGCGGUGAAAUGCGUAGAGAUCGGGAGGAAUACCAGUGGCGAAGGCGACCUUCUGGACUGACACUGACGCUGAGGUGCGAAAGCGUGGGUAGCAAACAGG
rnacentral:misc_RNA from 1 species